rnacentral:rRNA from 1 species
UACGGAGGGGGCAAGCGUUAUUCGGAAUUAUUGGGCGUAAAGGGCGCGUAGGCGGCUAGAUGUGUCAAAGGUGAAAUCCCUCGGCUCAACUGAGGAACUGCCUUUGAAACUGUCUGGCUUGAGGCCGGGAGAGGGUAGCGGAAUUCCCAGUGUAGCGGUGAAAUGCGUAGAUAUUGGGAGGAACACCAGUGGCGAAGGCGACACACUGGCCCGUUACUGACGCUGAGACGCGAAAGCGUGGGGAGCAAACAGG